UAGCGAAAUUCCUUGUCGGGUAAGUUCCGCCCUGCACGAAUGGCGUAAUGAUGGCCAGGCUGUCUCCCCCCGAGACUCAGUGAAAUAGAACUCGCUGUGAAGAUGCAGUGAACCCGCGGCAAGACGGAAAGACCCCGUGAACCUUUACUAUAGCUUGACACUGAACAUUGAGCCUUGAUGUGGAGGAUAGGUGGGAGGCUUUGAAGCGUGGACGCCAGUCUGCGUGGAGCCAACCUUGAAAUACCACGGUGCUGA
rnacentral:rRNA from 1 species